UACGUAGGGACCGAGCGUUGUCCGGAAUCAUUGGGCGUAAAGAGCGUGUAGGCGGCUCUUUAAGUCCUGCGUGAAAUCCUGCGGCUCAACCGCAGGCGGUCGUGGGAAACUGGAUGGCUAGAGUGCGGGAGAGGAGAGUGGAAUUCCCGGUGUAGCGGUGAAAUGCGCAGAUAUCGGGAAGAACACCAGUGGCGAAGGCGGCUCGCUGGAACGCAACUGACGCUGAGGAGCGAAAGCGUGGGGAGCGAACAGG
rnacentral:rRNA from 1 species